rnacentral:rRNA from 1 species
UACGGGAGGCAGCAGUGAGGAAUAUUGGUCAAUGGGCGAGAGCCUGAACCAGCCAAGUAGCGUGCAGGAUGACGGCCCUAUGGGUUGUAAACUCCUUUUAUAAGGGGAUAAAUUGCGGGACGUGUCCCUCUUUGUAGGUCCCGAAUAAAUAAGGGCCGACUAAUUCCGUGCCCGCAGGCGCGGUAAUACGGAAGGUCCGGGCGUUUUCCGGAUUUAUUGGGUUUAAAGGGAGGGUAGGCCGGUUUGUAAGAGGGUUGAGAAAUUUGCUGGCUCAACCGGUAACUUGCAGAACAAACUGGAUAGCGUGAGUGUGAGGAAGGUGGGCGGAAUUGGUUGUGUAGCGGUGAAAUGGUUAGAUAUGGGGAAGAACUCCGAUUGAGAAGGCAGCUGGCGGGAGCAUUACUGACAGUGAAGCUAGAAAGGGGGGGUAUCGAACAGGAUUAGAUACCCUGGUCGUCCGCACAGUAAACGAUGGAUGCCCGCUGUUUUCACAUAGCUGCAAGCGGCCAAGCGAACGCGNUAGUUUCCGCUGGAUC